rnacentral:rRNA from 1 species
UACGUAGGGUGCAAGCGUUAAUCGGAAUUACUGGGCGUAAAGCGUGCGCAGGCGGUUGUGCAAGACAGAUGUGAAAUCCCCGGGCUCAACCUGGGAAUUGCAUUUGUGACUGCACAGCUAGAGUGUGUCAGAGGGGGGUGGAAUUCCGCGUGUAGCAGUGAAAUGCGUAGAGAUGCGGAGGAACACCGAUGGCGAAGGCAGCCCCCCUGGGUCAAGACUGACGCUCAUGCACGAAAGCGUGGGGAGCAAACGAGGAUUAGAGUACCCGGG